rnacentral:tRNA from 1 species
AGGGACUUAGGAUAAGACCAAACCAAAAGCCUUCAAAGCUUUAAAUAGAAGUGAAAAUCUUCUAGUCCCUG